rnacentral:rRNA from 1 species
CACCGCCCGUCACACCAUGGGAGUUUACUGCACCAGAAGCAGGUAGCCUAACCGCAAGGAUGGCGCCUACCACGGUGUGGUCAAUGACUGGGGUGAAGUCGUAACAAGGUACCC